rnacentral:rRNA from 1 species
CCGGACCGGCGCACGGGUGCGUAACGCGUAUGUAACCUACCUAUAACAGGGGGAUAACCCGGAGAAAUCCGGACUAAUACCCCAUAAUAUGGGCGCUCCGCAUGGAGAGCCCAUUAAAGAGAGCAAUUUUGGUUACAGACGAGCAUGCGCUCCAUUAGCCAGUUGGCGGGGUAACGGCCCACCAAAGCGACGAUGGAUAGGGGUUCUGAGAGGAAGGUCCCCCACAUUGGAACUGAGACACGGUCCAA